GGGGGAUAACACUUGGAAACAGGUGCUAAUACCGCAUAACAGUUUAUGCCGCAUGGCAUAAGAGUGAAAGGCGCUUUCGGGUGUCGCUGAUGGAUGGACCCGCGGUGCAUUAGCUAGUUGGUGAGGUAACGGCUCACCAAGGCCACGACGCAUAGCCGACCUGAGAGGGUGAUCGGCCACACUGGGACUGAGACACGGCCCAGACUCCUACGGGAGGCAGCAGUAGGGAAUCUUCGGCAAUGGACGAAAGUCUGACCGAGCAACGCCGCGUGAGUGAAGAAGGUUUUCGGAUCGUAAAACUCUGUUGUUAGAGAAGAACAAGGACGUUAGUAACUGAACGUCCCCUGACGGUAUCUAACCAGAAAGCCACGGCUAACUACGUGCCAGCAGCCGCGGUAAUACGUAGGUGGCAAGCGUUGUCCGGAUUUAUUGGGCGUAAAGCGAGCGCAGGCGGUUUCUUAAGUCUGAUGUGAAAGCCCCCGGCUCAACCGGGGAGGGUCAUUGGAAACUGGGAGACUUGAGUGCAGAAGAGGAGAGUGGAAUUCCAUGUGUAGCGGUGAAAUGCGUAGAUAUAUGGAGGAACACCAGUGGCGAAGGCGGCUCUCUGGUCUGUAACUGACGCUGAGGUUCGAAAGCGUGGGGAGCAAACAGGAUUAGAUACCCUGGUAGUCCACGCCGUAAACGAUGAGUGCUAAGUGUUGGAGGGCUUCCGCCCUUCAGUGCUGCAGCAAACG
rnacentral:rRNA from 1 species